rnacentral:tRNA from 1 species
AGCUCAGUUGGUAGAGCGUUCCACUGAAAAUAGAGAUAUCCCGGGUUCGAUACCCGG